GACUGCGUGGCGCAGUUGGUUUUGCGCGUUAUCACUGUAUUAUGUAACCUACCUGACAGGUCGCCGGUUCGAAUCCCAGCAGUUG